CCCGCCGCCGCCCGCCCGCCCGCCCCGCCGCCGCCCGCCGCCCGCCGCCCGCCGCCCGCCGCCCGCCCGCCCCGCCCCGCCCGCCCCGCCCCCGCCCGCCCGCCCCGCCCCGCCCCCCCCCCCCCCGCCCCGCCCCCGCCCGCCCGCCGCCGCCCGCCGCCCGCCGCCCGCCGCCCGCCGCCGCCCGCCGCCGCCCCGCCGCCGCCCGCCGCCCGCCGCCCGCCGCCCCGCCGCCGCCCGCCGCCCCGCCCGCCCCGCCCCGCCCGCCCCGCCCCGCCCCGCCCGCCCGCCGCCGCCCGCCGCCGCCCGCCGCCCGCCGCCCGCCGCCCGCCCGCCCCGCCCCCGCCCGCCCCGCCGCCGCCCGCCGCCCGCCGCCCGCCGCCGCCCGCCGCCCGCCCGCCCGCCCCGCCCGCCGCCGCCCCGCCGCCGCCCGCCGCCCGCCGCCCGCCGCCCGCCGCCCGCCGCCGCCCGCCGCCCGCCGCCCGCCGCCCGCCGCCCGCCGCCCGCCGCCCGCCGCCCGCCGCCGCCCGCCGCCCCGCCCGCCGCCGCCCGCCGCCCGCCGCCCCGCCGCCGCCCGCCCGCCCCGCCCCGCCCCCCCCCCCCCCGCCCCCGCCCGCCGCCGCCCGCCCGCCGCCGCCCGCCGCCCGCCCGCCGCCGCCCGCCCGCCCGCCCCGCCCCCGCCCGCCGCCGCCCGCCCGCCCCGCCCCGCCCGCCCCGCCCGCCGCCGCCCGCCCGCCGCCGCCCGCCGCCCGCCGCCCGCCGCCCGCCGCCGCCCCGCCGCCGCCCGCCGCCGCCCGCCGCCGCCCCGCCCGCCCCGCCCCCCCCCCCCCCCGCCCCCGCCCGCCCGCCGCCGCCCGCCGCCCGCCCGCCGCCGCCCGCCGCCCCGCCGCCGCCCGCCGCCGCCCGCCGCCGCCCGCCCGCCGCCGCCCCGCCGCCGCCCGCCGCCCCGCCCGCCGCCGCCCGCCGCCGCCCGCCGCCCGCCCCGCCCCCGCCCGCCCCGCCCCCGCCCGCCCGCCCCGCCCGCCCCGCCCCGCCCCGCCCGCCCGCCGCCCGCCCGCCGCCCGCCCCGCCCCGCCCCCCCCCCCCCUUCCCCCCCCUCUGAGUUGUGGGGGAGGGCCCACGCCAGGCCAUGGCCGGUGGUCCGGCGCUGGGGCCCGCGCGCCUCGGCGUGUGGUGUGCGCGCGCGCGCGCGGCCCGCGCGCGGUGUCCUCCCGCCUCUCCCGUGGCGGUGUGUGUCCCGAGGGGCUUGGGGCGCCCCUGCGCGCCCCGCCCCCCCCUGCGCCGCGUGGGUGGCGGCUGUCUCCCGCCCGCUCCUCCCGUUCCGGGCUCGCCGCUGGCGGGUGGUGCGCGGGCGCGGGUCGGGGCCGCCUGGCUUUGGGAGGCCCUUCCCUGGGGCGUGGCUCCGGGAUACCAAACCCGGUGGCGCGCUCUGGUGUGUGGGCGCUUCCCAGGCCCGCUGCGGCCUCCUCUCCGUGUCCGCCGCCACCGUCCGGCCCGGCGGCGGUGUUGUGUGCAGACGGGGGGGAUCGUCCGUCCCCUUCCUCCGCCGUGCCCCCCCCCCCCCCCCCGCCCCGCCCGCCCCGCCGCCCGCCCCGCCGCCCGCCCCGCCGCCCGCCCCGCCGCCCGCCCCGCCGCCCGCCCGCCCCGCCCGCCCCGCCCCGCCCCGCCCGCCCCCCCGGUGGAGGGGUGCCCGGGUCUCGGCCCGGCCCCCGCCCCGCGUGAGCGUGUGCGCCGGCCUGCUGUGCCAGCCUCGGCGCGACCUGUCCGGGGCUCCGUCCCUCGCUCGCGCGCCGCCACCGGGUUGUUGGGGGUCGGCGCGCGUUGGAGGGGGGGACGUGUGCGUGUCCUCCCCCGCCUCUCCACGCCGUCGCCGGUGUUGGCCCGGUCCCGCGGGGGCGGGGUCGGUCAGUCCGUCACGCUCGCUCGCUGCGGGGUGGGACGGGGCCCGUCUUGAGUGGGCGCGGCGCGCGCGCCUGCUCCUCCGCCUUUUCCUCCCCGCGGGCUCCCGCGCCCCGGGGGGGAGGGGGGCCGCCGCCGCCCCGCCCGCCCCGCCCCGCCCCGCCGCCCGCCCCGCCCCGCCCCGCCCCGCCGCCCGCCCGCCCCGCCCGCCCCGCCCGCCCCGCCCGCCCCGCCCCGCCCCGCCGCCCGCCCCGCCCCCCCGGUGCGCGCUCUCUCUGGCUCACCGCGCUCCUACCUGGUUGAUCCUGCCAGUAGCAUAUGCUUGUCUCAAAGAUUAA
ensembl:lncRNA